AUCACCUGGGCAUCUUGUUAAAAUUCAGAUUCUGAUUCAGUGGAUCUGGGACCUGGCCUGAGAAUCUGCAUUUAUAACAAGCUCCCAGAUGGUGCCAA
rnacentral:pre_miRNA from 1 species